rnacentral:misc_RNA from 1 species
AAGUUAAUAGACUUCCACAUGGAGUACAUAUGUGGUAUCUUACAAGAAAGGUCUGGUUUCGCUCCACUAUUGAGGUAAGAGAUUAAGCUUCUAUUUGUUUAUUUGCAUGAUUCUUGGUCAGGAGAUUCACACAAAAAGAAAAUUUUGUUUAUUUUCGCAAUAGUUUCAAAAAGAGAAGAGCUAUUAAAAAAUUGUUUUUAGUAUGGG